GGGAACUCCUACUCCAUGUAAUAUUUUAUUAUCCAGUUUUAUCACCAUAAUUCAGUUAAUGGAACUCUUCUCAAUGAGUACUCUUCUCAAUGAGUCAUGUUUCCUUCAUAUAUUUAUUAAUACUCUUUAAAAGUUAACAAUCACUACCAUUCAUGCCUCUGAUUAAUUGUCUGAAGGUCUUUCGAUGGUGAAUUGAAAUCUGUUUGAAGAUUUAUCUAAAAAUAAGUUGAAUAUUAUUUUUCAGCUUACAUAAGGCACUGCAAUUACAAAUGAAUAAAAUAUUACACAAAAGUAUAUUAGUGAUAUAUUGACAUACAUGACUUAUAACGACAUAAAGUAGGGAAACAUAAGGGGCUACUGCUGCUAUGGCUACUAGCUACCAUUUACUGAGCACUUAGUAAGUGCUACAACUAGCUAAAUACUUUUUUUAAAGUGUUAUUUAGUUUUCACAAGAUUUUACAUAUUUAAUGAUUAAAAUGAGGAUUUUUUUCCCCAGAUUAUGCAAGGCUUAAGUAUUUGAUGCAGGUCAUAUAGCUAGUGAGUGGGUAGAGAGUAUGAAUUCAAAUAAAAUUCUAAAUUUAUUUCAGCAGGGAAUAUAAAUUUUGGAACAGCUCUUUAUAAUUCUAGGGACAGUGGUGUUCCCCAGAACAAUCUAAAAAUAUUGCCUUAUGUGUUCCAGACUUAAAAAUACUUUAGAAGUAUGAAUACUUACUCAUGAGACAAAUACAGAGAAAUCAGAAUGCAGAUUUCAUCAAUAUACAAUGUUUAUCUUCAAAUGUGGCCGAAGCAAGACUUCUCUUUGGAAUGUCCUUAUUAAGUUGCUUCUGGAUAGAAAAAUAAAUACCCAUAUUAAUGUUUGUCAAGUUGAAGUCCUUGAAGCCAUUGGCCAAGAGAAUAAGGCAAGUCACAGACCCAAGACAUUCUGAGUUGGUGGAGAUUUCCAUACAACUGAAUGGAAGCUGGGCCCAGAAUAAUUGUGUGGUGCAUGGCUUUCCUCCUGCUGCUUCUCAUCCUUUCUCAACCCACUCCCUCCACUCUCUAAAGGCCUACUUUGGAGUUUAAGGUGAGCAAGAAAAAUAAUUUUAUUAUAUGAAGUCACUGAGAUUUGGACUUUGUUAUGGCAAAGCACAAAGCAACCUAAAACACCCUGCAUAUAGCUGCACUGGUUUUCCCAGUGGGUAAUCAUUGUCUUUUAACUGACUAGUUUAUUACUACGUAUUUUUAAUUUUGAUAUAUUUGGAUUAGUUUAUAAUUUGUCACAACUUUGUUUUUAAAGUUCUUAUGGAUUUCUUACAGUAAAAAUCUAAAUUUUCUCUCUAAAAAUACAAAAAUAUUUUAUUAUAUUUACAUUAUGUUGAUCUCUCACUGCACAACACACAUCUUAAUGGUUUUCCAGAAUUUUGUUUCUGGAUUCUUAUGGGUUUACUUUUUCUCUUAUUUUGAUCUUAACUAUUUUUUUUUUGUUACUUAUGAGUUUUAUACAGCUGUUUAGUCAUUUUAGUUAGUAUAUAUCUUAGAGCAUCUCUGAGACUUUUCUUUUUAUUGAGUAUUUCCUCCAAAAGUUUCUUUAAUGUGAAUUUUUGUGAGGCAAGGCUUCCUAGUCCAGGUAUUCUUAACAAAGUUAUUAUAAUACCCUGACUUUCAAAUGACAGUUUUGCUGGAUAUAAAUUCUAGAUUGAAAGUUUUUUCUUUAAAACUUUGAAGGUGUUGUUUCCUUGUUUCUACUCUUUUUCCUUUAAAUGUGAUCUCUUUUUCUUAAUAGAAUUUUAUAAUUUUUCAAUAUUCUUAAUUUUUAACCAUGUCUAGAUGUAACUUUUCUUUAUAUUUCAUUUUGGUAUAUAGGGGAUACUUUCAAUCUGAAGCCUUUCAUUUUUCUUUACUUCUGAGUGAUUGCUCUCAUUUAAAAAAAAAAAAAAACUCUUUUUUUUCCUUUCUGUGAUAUCUAUUAUACAGAUAUUGAUAUUUCUCCAUAAAAGUUCCAUAUUUGUUAAUAUUUCCUUUAUCCUCUGCUCUCUAAAGAAUUGCUCGAUCUGAUCUUUCAGGUUUCUUAUUUAUUCUUUGUCUGCAUCCAUUCUAUUUUCAAAAAUCUACUGUUUUUCAUUUAAUAAUUAAUAUAGCAUAUCUAAUACUUUUCACAUCUAAUAUUUCCAAUUUAUUAAAAGCCAGAGGUACAAGAUGUAUCUUAUAGAGAUGUAUAAGAUUUUAUAUAUUUUAUAAAGAGGUAGCACUGGAAAUCUGCAUAAGGGUUUCCUUGAGUCUGAUAUGUAUAUUCACCAGAAUCAGUAUAAGUACUGAUAUGUAUAUUCACAAGAAGAAACUACCCAAGGCCAAAGAGAGAAUCACCAGAAAGCAGUAGGUCAAUUAAUUUCUGGAGCAUAACCGAGUGGGGAUAUUUGUACUUUUCACAUGACAACAAUCAGAAUCACACCAUAUACAAUGUAAUUCAUCUAAUAAAAAAUUAACAGGCAAGAUUGAAUACAAGACAGUGGAAGAGAAGGACCUUGAGCUCACCUCCUCUCAUGAGCACACAAAAAUCACAAUCAAUUGCUAAACAUCUAACAAUAAAAAAGACUUGGACCCAUCAAAAGAGAUAUCCUACAUCCAAGGACAUAAAGAAGAACUACAAGACAUUAUGAGGGACAAGCUCAUGAUAUAAUCAAAUACCAUACUGCCCAAGUGGGUGACACAUAAACUGUAGAUAAUUAUAUCACAGAAUUCUCCUACAGGAGUAAGAGUUUUCUGAGUCCCAUAUGCAUUCCCUAGCCCAGGGGUCUGGUAUGGAAGGAGGAGACCCAGAGCAUUUGGCUUUG